UCUCAGCGGACAGGGAGGAAGUGGGGAGUGAGGAGGAUUAGGGGCGGGCUGAUGAAGAAACAGAGUCCAAGAGAUUAAGUGAUGCUCCUGGGACCACACAGUUAAUGUGUCUAAAACAAGAUUCCAACCCAAGUCUUCCAGAUUCCAAGUCCAGCAUUCUUUCAGCUUUAUAGUCAUGUGUUACAACUGAUUUGGCCAUUCCUCAAUCACUGAAGUUAACCAGAAAGUGAUCUGGAAGAUGAGUGAAUGUUAUGACUGCAACUUUUGAUUGGGUUAGUUUUAGAGCAACCUGGGAAGAUUUAUAUGAACUGCUGCUAAGAAAAGUGAGCAGAACUAGUAGAAAACUGUAACAGUAAUAUUAAAAUCAUAAUCAACUGUGAAAAAUUUAGCAACUCUGCUCAAUAAAGCAAUCCACAAUUCCAAAGGACUGACAAUGAAAA